rnacentral:misc_RNA from 1 species
CCGCUGCCUUCCACAUCUCUCCCUGAGCCAGCUGCCACAAUGAUAUGCCGGUCAGCGCCACAAAGAAGGUCACCCCGACGAUGAUCGCCCAGGCUUGCGCCGCGGAGGCGAGUUCUCGCACGCGGCCGGUUUCGCCCUUGCCGACGAAGUAGGGAAGUUCUCUAUUUAGUCCGUUGAGAAUUCCGAGCUGCAUCACUGGGGCAUAGCCGAGAGCGAGCCCAAUGCCUGCGAAAAGGCCCAGAGUCGAGGGUUCGAUCAACCGUCCCACAAAGAUUCCACCGAUCAGCCGGAGGGCCAUGGCGAUCAGAUUCCCGCCGGCGAGUGAACCGGCGAGAUAGGCGCUUGAGCGCAUUGCUUUCUGGUUGGGUGGGGGAGCUGACCCCUCCGCCACAGCCGGGGUGGGGGGCGACGGGUCGUCCGGCUGCUUCAGCAUCGCGCGGGACAGCUGACGAAUCUACUCAGUCUCACAAGCUCGAAUCACGGCCACGACUUGGUCUAUCUCCUCGGGCGUGAGAGUCACUGAGCACGGCAGGUUGAUUACACGAUCGUACAUGUCCGUAGCGCGAGUUAUUUCGUAGUUCUGCAUGUCGGCAUAGGGGGUCUGGAGAUGGUUGGGGUACCACAACGGCCGCACCUGAAUGUCUUCCCGGUUGCAUUCGUUGAUUAUUCGAGUUUUAGCCUCGGCAUCCUUGGCGAGAAAACCGUAGAACCAUCUGUUUGAAUCACAGUCGGCCGGUUGUUGCACAAAGCGGUCGCUACCAAGGGCUGCCUCGUAGAGGG